CGGCAUAUCAGCUUGUUGGUGAGGUAAUGGCUCACCAAGGCGAAGACGGGUAACCGGCCUGAGAGGGUGACCGGCCACAAUGGGACUGAGACACGGCCCAGACUCCUACGGGAGGCAGCAGUGGGGAAUAUUGCACAAUGGGCGAAAGCCUGAUGCAGCAACGCCGCGUGAGGGAAGACGGCCUUCGGGUUGUAAACCUCUUUUAGCAGGGAAGAAGCGAAAGUGACGGUACCUGCAGAAUAAGCACCGGCUAACUACGUGCCAGCAGCCGCGGUAAUACGUAGGGUGCAAGCGUUGUCCGGAAUUAUUGGGCGUAAAGAGCUCGUAGGCGGUUUGUCGCGUCUGCUGUGAAAUCCCGAGGCUCAACCUCGGGUCUGCAGUGGGUACGGGCAGACUAGAGUGCGGUAGGGGAGAUUGGAAUUCCUGGUGUAGCGGUGGAAUGCUGCUUAUAUCAGGAGGAACACCGAUGGCGAAGGCAGAUCUCUGGGCCGUAACUGACGCUGAGGAGCG
rnacentral:rRNA from 1 species